rnacentral:rRNA from 1 species
GACGAACGCUGGCGGCGUGCUUAACACAUGCAAGUCGAACGGUAAGGCCCUUCGGGGUACACGAGUGGCGAACGGGUGAGUAACACGUGGGUGAUCUGCCCUGCACUUCGGGAUAAGCCUGGGAAACUGGGUCUAAUACCGGAUAGGACCACUGCCUGCAUGGGUGGUGGUGGAAAGCUUUUGCGGUGUGGGAUGGGCCCGCGGCCUAUCAGCUUGUUGGUGGGGUGAUGGCCUACCAAGGCGACGACGGGUAGCCGGCCUGGGAGGGUGACCGGGCACACUGGGACUGGAAUACGGCCCAGACUCCUACGGGAGGCAGCAGUGGGGAAGAUUGCACAAUGGGCGCAAGCCUGAUGCAGCGACGCCGCGUGGGGGAUGACGGCCUUCGGGUUGUAAACCUCUUUCAGCACCGACGAAGCGCAAGUGACGGUAGGUGCAGAAGAAGGACCGGCCAACUACGUGCCAGCAGCCGCCGUAA